ACAGGAUGUAACACAGAGGAGAGGUGAUGAGAAUGUCCUGUAUGGUGGUGAAGGAUGUGAGCUGUGAGGAAGAUCUAAAGGGCAACUAGUUCAGAGUGAAGUAGGAGAAAGGACAGAACUAUGGAAGAAUGCCUCCAUGGAAAUCAAUCAACCAAUCAGUACUAUAUCUGAUAUGGUUGAAUGGACUGAAAGAAUGUUUUCAGUUGUAUCAACAAUUUGGCUAUAAAUUAAUGCUAGAAAUGUCCUCAAAAUUCCUAAUAUUUCAUGAAUCUGGAAGGGAUGGAAGGUGCUGUUGUUUGAGUGGAUUGGGGGAGGUUGUAGAAACAUUUCUUCCUUACUCCUCAGACUUCCUCUAGGCUAAUUUUCUGUAAAACUCUCAGUCUCUUCUCCCACUGCUCAGUCCCCUACAGAUGUGAACUGAGGCUAGAGGGACUGGAGGGUAGGAAAUGGGUUUGCAGAGCUAAGCUCUUUCCUUUCUCAGGAAACCUGAAGUCUAUCUAGUCUGCUCCUCCCUGCCAUAAAUUUUAUAGGUGCAGGUCCUCCCUUGUAUAAGUCUUUGAUUCUCUAGUGCUGCCUCUAAUUGGGUGGGCAGGUCUGUUCGGUAUUAAAAGCCUACUUUUGUCAUAUUCACAUCCUCGAAGAUGCCUUAUCAGUAACAAAGGUGGUCUGAUCUGCAUUUGCCUGAUUCCUUUGUCUCUCUUGCUCUCUCCCAGUUCCAAAUUUGAGUAAAGACAAGGGCUGUUACUUAUUGCUCUCCCAAACACCAACCUUGUCAUAGUUUUAUAUGUGUGUGAUCUCAGUAUGCAAAAAGGGUGAUUACUCAUAUUUAAGAUUCGGGUUUAAAUGACUAAUUUCCGAAGGUGGAAAAGGGAGCAAAGUCUACUUCCUAUUAUUGUUUCUUUGUUUUAAAAAAAGAUACUUUAAUAGUGAAAUAUCUCAAACAUAUGAAAAGAACAGAAAAUACUAUAAAGCAUCAUCUAGCUUUAACAAAUCUUAACAUUUUUGCUGUUAAGUGGAACUAGCCACAAAACAGAUCUGAAGUCCUCUGAAAUUGCUUACUUGUUUCGUCUUCCUAUCUAAAAGUAACCACUAUCCCAAAAUUAAGAAGUAUCAUUCUGUCAUUCUGAAGAAUGUGUUUUUCCCAUACUUUUACUAUACACAUAGGUACAUACCACAUAGUAUUGUUUUAUUUAUUUGACCAUUUAAAUAAGUGGUAUCAUGUUGUACAUAGAAUUCUGUAGCUUGUGUUUCCCAGGCAACAUUACCAAUAAAAAAAGUGAUGCUGGUGGACAGUAGUCAAGUCAAGAGGACCUGAUCUGGAUCAAAUCCUGGCUCCAAGACCUUGAAGCCCUGUGACUUUGGACAGACUGCAGGCUUACCAUCUGUGAGGCACUCACAAGGAAAUCCCGGGAAAACAAGAACAGUGCUUAUCCUAAUUCUUUUCCACUGCCUCUGCCACUCUCUUAGCAGGAGAAUGGAAGACUAUAGCAGGGAAGUGAGUAGGUAAAGAACAAAGGCAGACUCACAGUUGGUGAUGUCACCAUGAAGCUGCAGAAUCUGAGGAACUGGCAUCGUGAGGACAACAAGAUCAAACUGCUCAGGGGGGCCUGUUUCU